AUGAUCAGUUUCGCGCACCAUUUCGAGGUGGUGGCGCUCCUCGCCGGGUUGUUCGUCGUGGGUGUAGUGAUAACCCCGCCGCCACAGGGCUCGCUGCGACCACCCAGCGUCUGCAUCGCGCCAUUCCUCUACUACGCCCGUAUCGGAAAGCUACAACUAUACCUCCUCUUCUGGAUCCUCCUCUCUGGCCUCAUCACCAGCAACUUGAAGCGCCGCACCGCCGGCGACGACGCGCCCCCGCCGACGCGGACGAUGAGGGCGUACCGGGUGCUCGCCCUCCUUCUCUCCUUCGCCAGCAUAGUGCUCAUCGCUGUCCUUGCCACCUACAUAGCGCAGGUCAGAUCCACCAGUAUCUCCUGCUGGAGCACGACGAGCACGGCCGCUGCAUGCCUCUUUGGGAGCUUUUUCGGCGUCGUGUGCGUCGCGCACUACUAUGAGCUCGCCACUCUGGUCCUUUGGGCUGUUUAG
rnacentral:rRNA from 1 species